rnacentral:rRNA from 1 species
AUUGAACGCUGGCGGCAGGCCUAACACAUGCAAGUCGAGCGAGCGGCGGACGGGUGAGUAAUGUCUGGGAAACUGCCUGAUGGAGGGGGAUAACUACUGGAAACGGUAGCUACUACCGCAUACCAUCAGAUGUGCCCAGAUGGGAUUAGCUAGUAGGGGGGGUAACGGAUCACCUAGGCGAAGAUCCCUAGCUGGCAUGAGAGGAUGACCAGCACCACUGGAACGGAGAAACGGCCAAGACUCCUACGGGAGGCAGCAGGGGGGAAUAUUGGACAAUGGGCGCAAGCCUGAUGCAUCCAUGCCGCGUGUGUGAAGAAGGCCUUCGGGUUGUAAAGCACUUUCAGCGGGGAGGCGUUACCCGCAGAAGAAGCACCGGCUAACUCCGUGCCAGCAGCCGCGGUAAUAC